rnacentral:rRNA from 1 species
CAGCCGCCACGGUAAGACAGAGGAUGCAAGCGUUAUCCGGAAUGAUUGGGCGUAAAGGGCUCGCAGGCGGUUUCUUAAGUCUGAUGUGAAAGCCCCCGGCUCAACCGGGGAGGGUCAUUGGAAACUGGGAAACUUGAGUGCAGAAGAGGAGAGUGGAAUUCCACGUGUAGCGGUGAAAUGCGUAGAGAUGUGGAGGAACACCAGUGGCGAAGGCGACUCUCUGGUCUGUAACUGACGCUGAGGAGCGUAAGCGUGGGGAGCGAAUAGGAUUAGAUACCCCAGUAGUCCCUGUCUCUUAUAC